rnacentral:rRNA from 1 species
GAUGAACGCUGGCGGCGUGCUUAACACAUGCAAGUCGAACGAGAAGUGAAGACGGAAACCUUCGGGCGGAAGGCUUUAUUUCGAGUGGCGGACGGGUGAGUAACGCGUGGGUAACCUGCCUCAUACAGGGGGAUAACAGUUGGAAACGACUGUUAAUACCGCAUAAGACCACAGCACCGCAUGGUGCGGGGGUAAAAACUCCGGUGGUAUGAGAUGGACCCGCGUUCGAUUAGCCAGAUGGCGGGGUAACGGCCCACCAAAGCGACGAUCGAUAGCCGAUCUGAGAGGAUGACCGGCCACAUUGGGGCUGAGACACGGCCCAAACUCCUACGGGAGGCAGCAGUGGGGAAUAUUGCACAAUGGGGGAAACCCUGAUGCAGCGACGCCGCGUGAGUGAAGAAGUAUUUCGGGAUGUAAAGCUCUAUCAGCAGGGAAGAAAAUGACGGUACCUGAGUAAGAAGCCCCGGCUAACUACGUG